UACGUAGGGCGCAAGCGUUGUCCGGAAUUAUUGGGCGUAAAGAGCUCGUAGGCGGUUUGUCGCGUCUGCUGUGAAAUCCCGAGGCUCAACCUCGGGCUUGCAGUGGGUACGGGCAGACUAGAGUGCGGUAGGGGAGAGUGGAAUUCCUGGUGUAGCGGUGGAAUGCGCAGAUAUCAGGAGGAACACCGAUGGCGAAGGCAGGUCUCUGGGCCGCAACUGACGCUGAGGAGCGAAAGCAUGGGGAGCGAACAGG
rnacentral:rRNA from 1 species